GUAAGAAUUUCCCUUGACUACGCUGCAUUCGGGUAGCGUGGCGCUGAGAAGUGCAUCUGCUGACCGGGGCCGUUAGCGGAGUCUGCACAGCGCUACGUGGUACAUUGUGUGUGUGUGGCAGCAGCAGCGCAGCGGCGCUUUUGCAGCGGAAAGUAAAGGCGAGGCGAGCUGGCCGGACGCAGGCAGGUUAGCAACCACACCGUCUAUGAUGAGGACCAAUCUGGUCGUGUUUGUGCAAAGCUCGGAUCCUCCAAUCACGCAACCAUUUCAGAAGAUGGGAACGUAUUUGCGCAGCGAUGCAUAGUCGCCGUUUAUGGUCACACAAAGGUCACUUAAACUGACAAACCUUCAAAGAUGCUGGAAGCAUCAAGAAGCAGGAGAAGGUACACUUUAUUUGAGCUACAUGUAGGCUCUGAGGAAAUCCAACUAAUUCCUAUGUAAUAUUAAAAACUAGGAGCAGACUGUUAACACUGCAGUCGGCCAGUAUCUGUGGUACAUUCAUUUUACAUGUCGUGUUGAUUGGCAAGCCAAUAAGAGGGCGAUAAGGGCCUUGUCACAGCUUGAAUCGGACUACUCAAAAAACUAAAGUUCUGUCUGUUCCUCUCAUCCCUACCAGCUAGUUUAAUGCUGUCAGUGUUGGGUGGGGGACACUCACAGCAAAGGUUCAGGUGACUUAAAAGGUAGGCUUCUAUAAAGGCCUUUGCAUUAUUAACGGCAGAUGAGGGAAAAGAGGAUGCAGAAGAUGUGGGAGAAGAUGUGGGAGACAAUGGGGGAAAGAUGAAGGCAAGAUGAGGGAGAAGAUGAGGGAGACCACGAGGGAGAAGAUGAGGGACAAGAUGAUGGAGAAGAUGAGGGAGACAAUGGGGGAAAGAUGUGGGAGAAGAUGAGGGAAAGAUGUGGGAGAAGAUGAGGGAGAUGAUGAGGGAAAGAUGUGGGAGAAGAU
ensembl:lncRNA